rnacentral:rRNA from 1 species
CGUCCUAUUAGCUAGUUGGUGAGGUAAUGGCUCACCAAGGCUACGAUGGGUAGGGGUUCUUAGUGGAAGGUCCCCCACACUGGCACUGAGAUACGGGCCAGACUCCUACGGGAGGCAGCAGUAGGGAAUAUUGGUCAAUGGGCGCAAGCCUGAACCAGCCAUGCCGCGUGCAGGAUGAAGGCUCUCUGAGUUGUAAACUGCUUUUGUACAGGAGCAAAAAAAUCCCUGCGGGGGUUCUUGAGGGUACUGUAAGAAUAAGCACCGGCUAAUUCCGUGCCAGCAGCCGCGGUAAUACGGGAGGUGCAAGCGUUAUCCGGUUUUAUUGGGUUUAAAGGGUGCGUAGGCGGCUUAUUAAGUCAGUUGUGAAAUCCUAGUGCUUAACGCUAGAACUGCGAUUGAUACUAUU